rnacentral:miRNA from 1 species
UUCCAGCAGUCAUCUCCAAGG